rnacentral:misc_RNA from 1 species
GGAAAGCAAUAUGCCCAAGCAUGAAACUGAAAACCAUAACCAGUAUCAUCACAUAAAUGUAACUUCCAAAUCAAAUCCUUCUAUCUCAAAAGGGUAAAUGCAAACAGGUGUAUUCACUUCUGCAUGCCAUCAGAAAAUAAGAAAAAGGGAAAAAGCAGUUGGCGACUUCAUGAUGAACUAAUUGUGUUUGAGGUAUGGAUUUA